UACGUAGGGUGCAAGCGUUGUCCGGAAUUAUUGGGCGUAAAGAGCUCGUAGGCGGUCUGUCGCGUCUGGUGUGAAAAUCCAGGGCUUAACCCUGGACCUGCAUCGGGUACGGGCAGACUAGAGUGCGGUAGGGGAGAUCGGAAUUCCUGGUGUAGCGGUGAAAUGCGCAGAUAUCAGGAGGAACACCGGUGGCGAAGGCGGGUCUCUGGGCAACAACUGACGCUGAGGAGCGAAAGCGUGGGGAGCAAACAGG
rnacentral:rRNA from 1 species